GUUGGCUAUGGUGACGUGGCCCCUAAAACGUAUCCUGGCAUGUUUGUGGGAGCCCUUUGUGCUUUGGCCGGUGUACUGACAAUCGCUUUACCCGUACCUGUUAUUGUAAGCAAU
rfam:Glossina palpalis gambiensis isolate 146720 unplaced genomic scaffold Scaffold126, whole genome shotgun sequence.